UAGUGAGUUUGAUCCUGGCUCAGGGUGAACGCUGGCGGCGUGCCUAAGACAUGCAAGUCGAACGCAGUAGCAAGCUACUGAGUGGCGCACGGGUGAGUAACACGUAACUGACCUACCCCGUAGUCCCGCACAACGGCCCGAAAGGACCGCUAAUUCGGGAUGUGAACCCGCACCGUGGUGCGUGUUUAAAGAUUCAUCGCUAUGGGAUGGGGUUGCGGCGCAUCAGCUCGUUGGUGAGGU
rnacentral:rRNA from 1 species